CUGUUGUGUGAAAGGAGUGAAAGUUAGCGCUCCACUUGACAAGCAUGGAAGAUGUCCUAGUGGCCUUACAACACAUAAAUGGUUCUGGAGGCAGUCGUGGGCUGGAGGUUAGGGUAGCAGCCUUGU